GCCGGGUGUGGUGGCGUGUGCCUGUAAUCCCAGCUACUUGGGAGGCUGAGACAGAGGAAUCACUUGAACCAGGGAAGUGGAGAGUGCAGUGAGCCGAGAUCAUACCACUGCACUCCAGCCUGGGUGACAGAGCAAUACUCUGUCUCAA
rnacentral:SRP_RNA from 2 species